UGGUGUGUUUGCAGGAAUUAAUGCUGUUUUGAUCUGAAGCCAAAAAAUGGUCAUAAACAAUUGUUAGAGAGUGACAAAAUUCACUUAAAGUGACAGAUUAUAACAAAAAUGAAAAAUCGAUAGUGCCUAAAAGCAACUAAUGGCAACAAUCUCCCCUACACCCACUUAAUAUGGGGUCAAGACACCCUGAAUUACAUAAAACAAUUCACAGUCAUACCACAAUGGAGAAAAGAGGAAAAAAUCAAAGCAUUCCUCUGGCUCUCACAAUACAUUACACAGAGAUGAAACUCACCACAAUGAAACAUCUUCGCCCGGAAGAUACAUGACAGCAGUGUCAGCAAUAACUGGGAAAAUUUCUUAACUGCUGUUAUCCCUCAUGAAAACUCAGACUGAGAUUUACAAUACCAACCACACUACUGAAGAAUGAAAUUGGCUUAAUCUCCUGUCUUUCUUUAAUAAAAAAAUCUCUGUAGAACCAUAAUGUUCAGACUGAGGACAUUGCAUUCCCCUUGGUUUUUGGCUAUGCUGUGAGUAACUGUUCAUCUGAGGCAUUCAUCCAUAUUCUGAGUGUCUGGAUUGUUUAUUCUAUAUAACCUGUCUCUUGAUAUUUUCUGCACUUGAUUGGGUAAACAACAGAAUCAGAACUGCAUGUAACAACUGCUUGUACCUCUGAAAAACAUUCUUUGUGAAGCUAAUUUGCUGGUAUCAGUGUAACUCAUAUCACAUUUUGUAUCCUGGAUGAUUGCAGAUUUCAUGCUUAAACAGAGAAGGUAUAACGUUUUGUUUUUUCUUCCCUGGAUUUAACUAAUCUUUGAGCAAAUGUUUAUAUAUUUGAUAUUUAACUAUUAGACUACAUAACUUAAAGUAGUAUUGAAUGUUAUUCUUUUUAAAUGAACACUGGUUCUAAUAUAUAAACCAUGGAAGACGUCCACUUUUAAAGUAGGCUGUGAACACUGUCAAGCAAUUUUUCACACACCUACACACAUGCACUCUCUGACUCUAUGAAUGAGUUAUCUCUGUCAUAGUUCUAAGCAUAUGGGGCCACGCAAUAAGACAAUGGUAUUUUUAAAUCCCUCUUUGUUAACUAAGUGACAAACUAAAGGACUUACAAAUGCCUGAUUUUUCAAGCUCCAAGAGAUAAUAAACCAAAA